rnacentral:rRNA from 1 species
AGGACGAACGCUGGCGGCGUGCUUAACACAUGCAAGUCGAGCGGAAAGGCCCUUCGGGGUACUCAAGCGGCGAACGGGUGAGUAACACGUGAGUAACCUGCCCCUAGCUCUGGGAUAGCUCCGGGAAACCGGGAUUAAUACCAGAUACGACCACUUUAGACAUCUGUCGUGGUGGAAAGGAUUCCGGCUAGGGAUGGGCUCGCGGCCUAUCAGCUAGUUGGUGGAGUAACGGCCCACCAAGGCGACGACGGGUA